rnacentral:rRNA from 1 species
UACAGAGGCCCCAAGCAUUAUCCGGAAUCACUGGGCGUAAAGGGUGUCAAGGCGGUCAUGUUAGUCGUUUGUAAAAUCCGGGGGCUCAACCUCCGGCUCGCAAGCGAAACGGCAUGACUUGAGGUUGGGAGAGGUGCGUGGAACUCACGGUGUAGGGGUGAAAUCCGUUGAUAUCGUGGGGAACACCAAAGGCGAAGGCAGCGCACUGGCCCAAAUCUGACGCUCACACACGAAAGCCAGGGGAGCGAAUGGG